AGUUGAAACCUAUUUGUCUGGCUUUUGCUAUUUCAACUAUUUGUAUGAACUUUCUUCUAAAUCAUGUUUUCAAGAAUUUUUUAGUUACCUUUCUUGGAAUAAUAUUAGCUUUGAGCAAGUAUAGAAAGUACGCUGCCACUGAAUAUUGCUAGCUUAACACGCACUUCUAAAAAUAAAAAGGUUUGUUUUACUUUAUUUUAUUUUUCUCUUCUGUAUUUUUUGCACUAGAAAUUACUAGCUUAACACGCAUCAGGAUUAUGUUAUCAUCACCUUCUAUUUUGUUGGACUGAAAAGGUUCUGGUAGCUACUUCUCCAAACAGUAGCGAAGAUGAUUCAUUUGCUUUACUUUGCUAAUGGUUAAUGAAAAUUCAUUGUUUGGUUAUAUUAAUCAGGAGUCUGUAUCCCAAGUAAUGGAAAUUACUGGGACUUUCAAGUGCAGAGCUAAGACGAUGGUUGAUGUUGCUAUUCAGCGGUUGGACAACUUCUCCGUGCCACAAGAAUAUCUAACGGACUGAAGUUUGAGGCAAACAAGAGAGGAGAGGAACAGUAUGCAAGGUCAAGAUGGGGUCAAUUCUAGGGUG